AUUGAACGCUGGCGGCAUGCCUUACACAUGCAAGUCGAACGGCAGCACGGGGGCGAACCCUGGUGGCGAGUGGCGAACGGGUGAGUAACACAUCGGAACGUGCCCAGUAGUGGGGGAGUAGCUCGGCGAAAGCCGGAUUAAUACCGCAUACGACCUACGGGUGGAAAGCGGGGGAGUCGCAAGACCUCGCGCUAUCGGAGCGGCCGAUGUCAGAUUAGGUUGUUGGUGGGGAAUGGCUCACC
rnacentral:rRNA from 1 species